rnacentral:lncRNA from 1 species
ACUAAAACGUAGUAUAUAACUUUUUUAAGGUAGAAAGAUUGUUUUUAAAAAGCACAGUGUGUUCCAUUACACUGACAAGGAAUUUAAUGGUCUCUUUCUUUUACAGCCAGAUGUAAUUGUUGUAUCAGCUCUCCAGGUAUAUAAGCACACGCUGAAGUUUAUUUUGAUCCAGUAAAUCAGACAUAAACCAACAAAGCAAUUAUCAGCAUGAAGAAGAGAUCCAGAAAGAAACACAGCAGCAAGAGAAUAAAACUUGGAGGAGGAAAUCAGAUGCACAGUGUCCCUUGUGGCUUGAAAAAAAGCAACUGAGAAAACUGUGGUUGAAGCACUCGACAAGGACUCAGAGUCCUGGAGCAGCAUACAGGAGAAAGUAAAAGGAGAAAAGACAAGUGGGAGGGCAAGAGCUGCCAGGAGUAGGGAAAAACUAGAAAAACGAUGGGACGUGGCAUUUUCUUGUGCAUUUUUAAGAAGGAAUGUUUACUUUUACCACACUUCAGCUUAAUCUGAGAAAGUCACAGCUCUCCAGCUGUCCAUCUACACCAGGUUUAGGUGAAAGGGCUGCCAG